UACGGAGGGGGCGAGCGUUAUUCGGAAUUAUUGGGCGUAAAGGGCGCGUAGGCGGCUGUACAAGUCAAAGGUGAGAUCCCUCGGCUCAACUGAGGAACUGCCUUUGAAACUGUACGGCUUGAGGCCGGGAGGGGGUAGCGGAAUUCCCAGUGUGGCGGUGAAAUGCGUAGAUACUGGGAGGAACACCAGUGGCGAAGGCGGCUACCUGGACCGGUUCUGACGCUGAGGCGCGAAAGCGUGGGUAGCAAACAGG
rnacentral:rRNA from 1 species